rnacentral:rRNA from 1 species
GAUGUUACCUGGUUGAUCCUGCCAG